rnacentral:lncRNA from 1 species
UUAAUAAUGAAAAUAGAUUUAAUCUUGCAUGAUAUUGAAUUUUAAUUUAUUUUAAUCUGUUGGCUUAAAGGAAUCAGCAUUAUGUUCUAUGGCGGGAGGUCAGAUUAGGCCAAACCACGUUCGAAAUGACGGAAGGUCGAGUUGAGGAAUUGUUGGCUUAAAGAGGCCAGCAUUCUGUCCUGUGGUAUAAGGUUAGUUGCAUUGAGUCACAGUCGAGACCCAUUGGCUCUGUAUCUGUACACUUUAAGUAAAUUAAUUGUAUGAGAUUAAUAUUUUACGUCAAUGAUCCGAUGCAAUCCAAGUUCAUGAAAACUCUAUUUGUACAUCAAUGAUCCGAUGCAAUCCAAGUUCAUGAAAACUCUAUUUGUACAUAUUAUGUAGGCUAAAUUAUAGAAAACUCCUUUAUAAAUUUAUAUUUUUUCACUUUCCCUCAUUAACUUUCAAAAAUCUAUAUUUUACCCCCCUCAAUAUUUCAAAUUAUUACAUGUAGCCAUCAUUCGUCAGGUUUCCAUCACUAUUCCGUUAAUUUCUUAUAAUUUAUACCAAAAAUACUUUUCAAAAUAACAGAAAUAUAUUAAAUUAUUUUUUUAUACAUGAAGUAAGUAUAAUUUAGUCAUUUUGCUCUUUCCAUUAACGGCAUACUUUCCUAAAAUAUUUCUAAAAUUUUAUGGGAGCAAAAUAUACAUUUUUAAAAGUUAUAAAGAAAAAGAAAAAAAUAAGUAUUAACGUAAUUUUUUUUUUUUUUAAUCUAGCCUAUUAUGUACCACUUUUGGUCACCUACUUUGGUCACCUACUUUUACUAUUUCAAGAAGAAUAAGUAAAAAUUAAUUUGAAAGUUUCUAUACUUUUAAAACCAAUGAGUUUUCACUAAUAAGAUCUCCACACACACACAUCAAAUUAAAAAAAAAAAAUGAAAAGGCCCAUUUAUGGACCUUACUUAAAGAAGGAAUUAGAAUAAGACACUUGUAAAGUACACAAUUUUGAAUUAUUGAGAGUUAUUAAUUAUCCCACGCAAGUGACUUAAAUCACAAUGAUAGUGAUGUUUGAGCAUUUUAAAUUGUAGUAGGUGUACAUGAUAAUGAACCCAUCAUUUGGGUAAUUGAUUAGAGGGCGCGAUUUGUCGUAACAACUACUAUAAUAUAUGUGAUUACACGUAAGUAUCUGAAAUAAAAAAAGUCAUUGUUAUAAAAGUGAGUUUUAGAAAAAUAACUUUUGAGUUUGAUACCUGAUAACGAUUUUUUGCGUACAUUUCGGUGUUUGUCAGAGUCCUAGUAAAAGGGGAAAAAUAAAAACUUUUGAGUUUGGUUAUUGGAUUUGCCAAAAAGUGAAAGUUAAAAAGUAUGAUUUUGUCAUUUUGAUUGUUUGAUUAUAUUUAAGUAAGUGCAAAUAUAAACGAAUGAUUUAUACUUGUCUUCAAAUUAAAAUUUUAAAUUUUAAAAUAAAUAUUUAUGUUUAUAUUUAUAUUUGAAUUUGUAAUUAAAUUUAAAGUAUAUAAUUGAAUAUAUAAUUGGAAUUUAGAGUUUUAAUUACAACUCUUAACUAAAAUAAAAUUCUAGAAAUAAAUUUCAACUUUGAAAUUAAAUUCAAAAUCCAAACUUAAAUUCCAAUUCGAAUUUCAACUUAAAAUUUGAAAUUUAAAUUUAAGCUUUAAUCAAUAAUUUGAAUUUAUAAUUUCAAUGCAAAGAUCAAAUUGAAGUUCACAGAUACAAUUAAUUUGAUCAAAAUUUAAACUUUAACAUAUAAUUUAAAUGUUAAAUACAAUUUAUAGAAUUGAAAUAGAAAUUCACAAUUUUAAAUUUAUAAAUUGUCGAAUUGAAGCUGAAUUUACAAAUAAAAUUUAGAAUGUAAAAUUAAAUUUAUAAUUUUUAAUUCAAAUUUAAGUUGAAAUUCAACUUUAAUAAUAAAUUCAAAGAUUAAAAUUAAAAACAAAGCAUUACCUUUUAAUGUAGUUAAUUUUUUUUCCUUGGAGUUGUGAGUAUCUAAGAAUGUCAAUGCGUCGGUUUCACAACGAUUUUCGCAAAAUUCAAAACAAAAUCCGAAGAAAAAUCCGAUAUCCAACCCGAACCCGAUUGGAUAUUAAUUAUCCUCUCCAAACUUGAAUUCAGAUCCAAAUAAAGAUCGAAAACUCAUACCCGAAACCGAAGAAACCGAACCCGAUUACUUAAUAUACCAAAUAAUAAAUUAAAUCAUUAAUAUAUAUUAAUUACUAAAAUAAAUAUCUAAAAGUUUAUAUAUAUAGACCGUACGGAUAAAGGCCAUAAUCGAAUCUGAAUCUGUCGGAUUUUCAUCUUUUAUACUCAUAACUAAAACUAUACUCAUCUAGCAUUCAUUAAAUCUAUCGUAUUCGGGUUCGGGUCGGUAUAGCAUAUCAGGUAUCCGUAUCCACUAACAUCCCUAGUGGUAGUGGUGGUACUGGAUCCGGGUGUAAAUGAAGCCCACUAGGUCCGGCCUUAUUUGGGCUCAGCUUUGGGCUAAAGCAAAGCCCCAUUGAGGCCCAAAAGUAUUUUGAGCCUAUUUGGGCUUAACCAUGUUCGGCUCGAGCUAGGCCUAAAUAAAUAGUAUUUAUUAAAAUAAAAUAGUUUUAUAGAAUCUUACAGUUUCAGAAUUCGAGACAUGUUUAACAAUUUUCCGUCUCAGAUUGAAUUCUCCGUCUUCUCCAUAAAAAAUUCUAGGACUCUUCGAGUGCCACUACAUAUACAAACCAAGUUUACAGAAUAUUUGAACUUGGUCACCUUAAGAGGUUUAAUAAGCAAAUUCGCGAAAUUUUCUAAAAUGUCAAUCUUCUUAUUCUCCAGUAAUGUCUUUUACAAUAUCUGUUGUUUUAGAGUAAUAGAUUGCCGAAGAGUGAAACAGCUGGAGCGAUUUAACAUCUCAAUCCCAAAUUUCAUCGACAUCUUAAACACUCGAACGAAAUAGCUUACUCUGAUACCAGUUUAUUAUGACAAAGCCGCAAAAGAUUUAGUUCAAUCUUGUGCGAAAAUACCAAGACAUAAAUAAGCUCUUGGUAUCCGAGAGAUAAAAAGUAAAUAAUAAAAUUUUAUUUCAUUACUGUUAAAAAGUUUUAUAGUUUCGGAAAAUUUUGAAUAUCAACAAAAUGAUUUCCAUCAUAGUGGUGAGAAUCAAUUUUCAUUUUGGAAUGAAUUGGCAAAAAUAAACUCUUUUUUUUCACCAAUAAUUAUUUAAAUUUAAAUAUUACUUUAUAUUUAAUUACAUAAUUAAUUAUAAUUUGAAAUUCAUCUUUGAAUUACUGAUUUGUUAAAUUUUAAGUUUUUAAAUUUUUUAAUUUGAAUAUGAUUCCAAUUCCGAAUCCUCUUACGAAUCAAAUUGAUAGGUAUUUUCAUCAUUCGGUUUUCGAUUUUGGUCCAUACAUUUACUAGAUUAAAACUUCGAGUUCUAAAUCAACAAUUACCUAAAAGCUCAGGGGCUCGAGUGCAAUUUACUCUCCACCCCGUUCCUUUCCACCGAAGUACCCCCCUCUCCAGUGAAAUAUAGUCGACGCCGACUUCUCACCACUUCACAUAAACUCGUCGCCGACUUUCUCAUUUCCUAAUCUCUCUCUCUCUCUCGACCCUUUUCGUCGUCGUCGUCGCCCUCUUCCUCGAUCGCGAUCGCUUUCUAGGGUUUCCUCUUCCUCAUCCUCCCCCCUCCUCUCCCUCCCCGUCGCCAUGGCGACGAGGAACCGAACCCCUCUCUACCGGAAGUACCGCGACGCCCUCCGCAACGUCCGCGCCCCCUCCCCCUCCUCCUCCUACUCCGGCGGAGGCGGCGGAGGGCCGGUGAUCGAGCUCGUGAACGCCUCGCUGCUUCGAUCGGAUCGGGCCUACGCCCCCCUCAGCACCGACGACCCCGGGAGCUCUAGGUUUGCGCGCUCCCCCUCCCUUGCCCCUUGCUUCCCCGUAUCGCGAUCGAUCUCGCGCUUGAUUGGUGCGAAGGGUUAAUUUGAUGCUAGAAACCCUAGUUGUUAGGUUGUGACACGAUAAUUAGCUGGAAAUGUCUGUAGAAUUUGGGCUUUGAUGAUAUCUUAAUAUCGCUAUGCUGAUGCCAAUAUUCCCAUUUCUUGUUGAUAAAUUAUGCAGCUUUUAUGAGUAAAGUAUGUUGCUGAAUGGUGAUUCCUUUGGAAAUUGUGGCUUAGGGUAUAGUGAUGGUCUAUGUUGUGUAGCUGAGGCUUAGUUGUAAGAUUAAGGGAUCUAAAACUUAGAAGAGGUAGGUGUAGAGGAAAUGGGAAUGGGAUGGGUGCUGUUCUAUAAGCUCAAUCAUUAUAAUGUUGUAACCAUCGUUAGCAAUAUGUGGUAAGUCGUAUAAGUUCCACAUGUUCUGUCUUAAUAUCUCAGUGUUAAAUGUUUUCGACCUUCAAGAACUUCUGUUAAUACGAGAGAAGAUCGACGUUAGUGGUGCAUGUAGUCCUUCACUUAAUAGUGCAUAUUUCUAUAAUUGAUUAUAAGUUAUGCUUAAGAUCUAAAGAGAUUUUGUCCUGUGAGAUAAUGUAUGGAAUGUAGUCGAAAACUGAUUUGUUGUCCUUGAAUUUUUGAGAGGAACAGAUAAAAUGUCUAACGCUACCUAAUUUUUAGGGUGUCAUAUCUUGGAUCAUUUUCCAUCUAAAAUCUUUACAUGUGUUGGUACAUUUGGACUCCACAUGACCAAAACUGAUUAGAAUGAUGGCUUUACUCCACUUUUAGUGGGUAAUUCAAUUUAAACAGAGAGUGGUGAAAACGCUGUUUAACAAGAUAACACUCACAUAUAAUGCUAACAGACCUUGGAAUUUGGCCGGAAAAAAGAAUCCUGGGGUGACUAUGGAAAAGCUAGGUAAGAUCAGGGCCUAACGUGCUUACUGCUUAAAGUGAAAAAUUGUGGCACCCAAUAGCAAUGAAGUCACAGUUUCAUGGAUUGUUGCUAUGUUUGUCCCUUCCUUUCUUCUAGAACACACUAAUAUUCACGACUUGUCUAUUGUUUGAUACUAUUGUAACAUAUUCUUUCUCUUCUGCAGUGGAGGUGCAGUUACGGUCGGUCUGCCACCAGCUUGGGUGGAUGUUUUUGAGGAAAUAUCUACAAAUAUGCAACGGGCUAAAACAAAGAUGUCAGAGUUGGCUAAGGCUCAUGCCAAAGCUCUAAUGCCUUCAUUUGGAGAUAACAAAGGGGACCACCAUGCAAUUGAGGUUCUUACCCACGAGAUAACUGAUUUACUGAAGAGAUCAGAGAAGAGAUUGCAGAAACUUUCAACUGCGGACCCUUCUGAGGAUUCAAAUGUUCGGAAAAAUGUUCAGGUAUGAUAGUACCUCAUCUCAAUAGUUGUUCUGAUACACUCUUAAAGCUGUUUUACUUUAUUUUUCUGUCAGCCUGGAUGGAAAACCCUGAAUAGUAGAAUUCUGUGGAAUUGGAAUUCUAGUUAUCUCAGAUGCCUUGUUUUGGAUUAUUAUUUUUUGAUAUUUUAUUUGGAGUUUGUGGAAUUUUUCAUACUACUACAAGAUGCCAUAAUUUGGGGUUGGAUUCAGCGGGAGUCCAUUUGCUAUUGGUGAUAAAUAUAAGUAACCAAAAAUGCCCCUUUUUAAAAUAUUUUAGCUGUUUAGCUAAUGAAUUUUAGAUUAUUACUAAUCUAAAUUACAAACACAUGAAUGGAAAAAAAAAUCAUUUAUUAUAUGUUCCAAACAAAUUAAUCAUUUCUAAUUAAAUUCAUUCAUAUUCUUCUGAUCUGAAAUCUAUUACGUCCUAUUCAAAGUCUAUCCCAAACAAAGUGGAAGCAUUAAAGUGCACUUUCCCCUUGUAGACUUGGCAUUCUUUUUCUUUACAUGAUCAGGCAGCAAGGGUACUGCAUAACUGCAUUUGGCGCAUUAGGGACCAAUUUUACUCAAUACAUUUGAUGAUGAAUUUACUGAUGAUUUCUGACCUUUUAGUCCUUAUCAAAGUGACCUUCGACUUUUUUACCUGCAGAGAUCACUUGCAACUGACCUUCAAAGCCUUUCAAUGGAGUUCCGGAAGAAACAGUCUUCUUAUUUAAAGCGGCUUCGACAGCAGAAAGAGGUUGAAUGUUUAUUAAAUUUUAUGUUUACCCCCCCAAAGAUCAGAUAUUCUUUGUCAACUAGCUUCCGAAUAUGCGUGCUAUUUUCUGAUGCCUUUAGGGUCACGAUGGUAUUGAUUUGGAGAUAAAUCUAAAUGGAACGAGAUCCACAUUGGAAGACGAUGAUGACCUUGCAGAUGGGGUAUGUUAAUGUCACGCCUCAUAAUGUUUUCGUAUAAUCUAUUCCUGUAAUAUAUGUGCAUAACAAUGUGUAAUCUUGUAUGCGUUGUGUAUGUUUAUCCGUGUAUAUUCACGUUACAUUUAAUUUUUAAUAUGUAUACUGAUAGAGGGGUGAGAGGAUCGAACUUGUACAUACUUUAAGUUCUAUAUAGUUUGUAAUAAAUAUAAUGGCCAGAAAACCAACAAACACAAACUAUUGGAUGUGAUCUAGAAAAUCUAAAUGCUCAUACAUGGAAGAAAAUUAAAGUGUGGAGUUAUAUUCUGUAACAAUCCAACUCACUAGCACUAAUAACUUAUUGGGCCCAAACCGCUGGCUUUAGAUGUUUAAGUCCAGUUAUUAGUUCUAGUGUGCCCGUCAUAUAUAACUCUUUCACAUUAUCCGAUGCGGGACUAUUAUAGUGUCACAUAGUCCUAGGGCGACAAGAUGUUUCAAAAUCAUUCUAGUAGGGGAAAUUGUUCGAUUUGUAGGAAAUCAUAGGCAUUUAGAUGUUGUAGGUUGUAUAUUUGAAAUCACAUCAACUUCAAUGAAUCUCACAUUUGAAAUUAGGCUCACUAACACAGGAAUAUGUCUAUACUGAAGUAUAAUAAUGUAUACAUCUGUAUUCUCUGCGUGCUCAUGUACCUAAUUGAGGAGAAUGCUUGCUCAGUUGCUUGUUAUUUUUAUUUUUAUCAUUGUUGUCUUCACUAUUUUUACUGUUGCUAAUAUUAUUUUAAUUUUUUCCCCUUUUUUGAAAAAGGCAAAUAUAGGCAUGACACCUAUAGAAGUCGGCUUUGCUUGGAUACACAUAAAAUAGGUCAUUUAAAUUACCUUUGUAAGAUGCCAGCAUGAUUUUUCUGGAGAUCUUUCAGUAACCCAGUCUUUAUUAACAAGAAUUUUGUGCUCUUACGGAUGUAGACAACACGUUAUGGAUUUUACUGUGUUGCUGACGCUACUUGGUUUAAUAGUACUAGUUUUCUGUUCGCAGGGUUUCACAGAGGUUCAGAUGUCAAAGCUUAAAAAAAGCGAGGUUUUCACAAGGGAGAGGGAGAGGGAGAUUCAACAGGUAAACAUUUUUCACUGUAUAGAUUGCAAGGGUCUUUUGACCUGUAGUUUACUGUUUUCCCUUCCCUGGAAAAGCCGUCGUCUAACUAAAAUAACGUAUGAAGGUUGUGGAAUCGGUGAAUGAGCUUGCUCAGAUAAUGAAGGACCUCUCGGUUCUCGUGAUAGAUCAGGUAUUAGAUUAUAUCACAAUUUGGAUAGAAACUAAGAUCCAGUGUUGUUACUGAAAUGGUUUGAUUCCUUUGAUUCCGACACACCUUUCGUGAGCAGGGGACCAUCAUUGACCGGAUAGACUUCAAUAUACAGAAUGUUGCAGCUUCAGUUGAGGAGGGCUAUAAGCAGCUCCAAAGGGUCUCUCUCUCUCUCUCUCUCUCUCUCUCUCUCUCCAUGUAACCCAGAAAGUUGAAACGUACACCACUGGGUGUGAUCCACAAUAUCUCAACGGCCAAUAUGUAAAAGAUCACAAAUUUUCGGAGAUCUAUAUUUUAAUCAUCAAGCAAUACCGAAAUAAGUGCUAUUGCCCAACGCAUAAGAGAUGGGCUCCGGAAACAUAUGGUUUACUUAAUAUAUAGGCCUUUUUCAGAUGCUGUAGAUCACAUCUAAAGGUUUACAUCUUUUAGGGACUAUGAUCGGAUAAGCGUAACUUGAUCUUAAUUGCAUAGAUAAAUAGAUGCCUCUCUCUCUCCUCUCUCACUAACAUCCUGAUGCUUGAGCUCUCUUCCAAUAUACAGGCUGAGAGGACACAAAAGAAAGGGGGGAUGGUGACGUGCGCGACGGUGCUUGUCAUAAUGUGCUUAAUCAUGAUAGUCCUCUUAAUCCUCAAGUCUAUUAUCUUCUAGUCGCAGUCUCAAUUAUCCGAUCAAUCCAGUUACUUUUCGCGGUGAGCACAUCUCGAAGUGCUUCUCCAGAUGAAUAUACACUCGAAAUUCAACUUCCGAGAGAAAGCAGUUUAAAGUCGCACAUCCAUCUAAUGCUGAUGCCUCAACCCAGAAAUGCUUUCGUCGCGCUUCGGAGAAUGCUUGGCGGUAUAUACUAUACACUCUAUUUUUCACCUGGUCGAUAAAUGCGCAGAGUAUUUCAAUCGGUGUCCAAUUGUUCAAAAGUUGCUCCAAGUUUUUCUUUUCUGUUUUUUUUUUUUGUUUAUCCCUUUUGGAAGAAGGAGAGUUAUUCCACUUCUUUUCGCAAAGGGGAACUCUCCUUGUAUCCAGAGAAUUAUAACACCGCAUCGAAUUCCCUAUACGAAUUCAUAAACUUUAAUGGGAGGAAAUGUUCCUGUUUUUGUGUGUUUUUGUUAGAGCAAAUAGUUCAUCUUGAUGCAUUGAAUUCUACUCUUAAGCUUUUAUGACUUUUCUUUUUUCUCCUUUUUUUUUUUUUUUUUUUGUGUGGGUUGGACUACAAAAGUCAGUAUGUUUGAGUAAACAAUACAAAGUAUUCUGCAUUUCAGGGUCUAGGGCUUAGGGUUUAGGAAAAAUUAGUAAGAUAUCAAACAUUCACACAAAGAAACAUAGGAAAACUUCAAACCCCCCCCCCCCUUGUGGUUUCACAUUUUUUCAUUUUAGUACGCUGUGGUUUAAAGUGUAUCAAGUUAGUAUCCUGUGGUUUCUCACUUUAUCACUUUAGUACCCUGUGGUUUAAAGUGUAUCAAGUUAGUACCCUGUGGUUUUGCACUUUAUCACUUUAGUAUCCUGUGGUUUCACACUUUAUCACUUUAGUACCCUAUAGUUUAAAAAAUCACAGGAUACUAACUUGAUAUAAAAUUAAAACCACAGGGUGCGAAAGUGAUAAAGUGCAAACCACAGGAUACUAACUUGAUACACUUUAAAUCACAUGGUACUAAAGUGAUAAAGUGAGAAACUACAUGGUACUAACUUGAUAUAUUUUAAACCAUAUGGUACUAAAGUAAAAAAAAUUAAAACCACAAGGGAGGUUUUUGAAGUUUUUCCAAGAAACAUUGAGAUUUGAGAGGAGUGUGCCAAUAAGUGUGCACUUUCACUUGUCAUAAGAGUUGGUGAGUCACACUAAUCUUACAUCAUAUGAAUCUCUCUUUGAGUGCACCUAAAAAUAGAUAGAUUAUUACAUGAGGCUUUAAACAAUGUAUCAAAUCAUAGGAGCUUGCGGCAUAACUCUUUGUGAUCUUUUUAUUUGGUUUCUCAGAAAAGUGUGAAAAAAAAAAAAUCGAGAAAAAUGUUUCUUAUAGAAAAUGAUGAAAAUUUUUUUUCCCAGAUUUUCGUCCGGUUGGUUCCAAAAUAUAUAUAUAUAUUUGAAAAAAAUUUUUUCAAAUUUCAUAGAAAACUAGCCUUUUUGUUUUCUGGUUUUGUUUUAGAAAAAUGAGAACACAAAGUUUUCGUAAAAUGUAAUAAAAAAAAGGGUUUCCAAACAAAUUAUUUUUUUAAACCAAACUGGCAAAAAAAAAUUAAAAAAGGAAGUUUCUAUGAAAAAAACCUUUUGUUGAUUUUUUUUUUCCCCACAUUUUUCUAAGUAAUGAGACACCCUCUUAGUUGUAGUUUUGUGGGGAAAAAAAAAAAGAAAUUUAGCACAAAAAAGGUAUGAAUUAAAUUCUGAUAUAUUAUAUUAAAAGUCCCGAAUUUAUUUUAAAAACUUAUGGUGAUAGAAUUAUACACAGAACAUCUGAACAUGACUCUAAUAAAUCCAAUAUUGUGACAUGAAUAUUUUUUUUCCAAUUUACUUAUCUUAACCUUCUAGAAGUAUUAAUUAAUUAAUUAUUAUUUUCCAAAAAAAGAAGGCUUCUAGAAGCGUUAUCCUCUCUCUCUCUCUCUCUCUCUCCUUGUGCACCGAACUGGCGCACGAGUUCGCACGUGACUCAGAAACGCCACGAAACCGGCUCGCACGUGCCACGCCGGAGCAACCGGCAUUAUCCGGUAAACCACCGGGUAGGUGACCCGUCCUUACCGGUUCCCUCAAGGGAUGGUAAAAUGUAUGGGUACUCCCUGCGCUACCCCCGUAUUGUACAUUAGUCUCUUUUUUUUAAUUAUUACUAGAUGACUUUUUAUGCCAUGUAUUGUACCCUAUAUUUCCACUGCUAAAACAUAUUAUUUUAUUAAUUCUACACAUGAGUUGUUAAUUAGUUUAUAUUUUAAAACAUAAUUUUGCUUAGAGAAAAAACAUGUAAAAUUUAACGAAGAUGCUCACAACUAUGGGCCAAUUUGAAAUACUACUUAAAACUUUAUAUUUUUCUAAAACACGCACAUGGCGUAUCUUUUUUUUUUCUACUUUAAUUUAAAUUAUCCGAGUCAUCCAAAUUAAAAUUUUUAUUAAGAAUAACAAUGUAAUUAAUUAAUCAAUUGUUUUUUUCCGACAAAAUCUAAAAAUUUUUGCUGCAAAAUUUGUUAAAAUUAUUAAAUAAUUAAAAAAAAAACAAGAAGGUAAGUGGACCAUCACAAAAAUUUCCCAUAGUUAAGGGAUCUCCGCGCAUGUUUGCCUAGACAAUAAAUGCCAAACUUUAAGCACGGACUAAAUUCUAAUUUUGAGAUUGUACAGGGACUGGAAUUCAAUUCAACCAUCGGGAGAGCGACAAAAGAGAAACAGGGGUGGAGAGGGGAGGAGAGAGAGAGAGAAACGUCCUUGUGUCGUCCACACGAUCCUUCUCCUCUUCGCCACGCUCCAAGAAUCGAUUUUUUGCCUAUUUUUCUCGUUUUCAGAGGUAAUCCAAUGGCUUUUUACCCUUGUAACUCGCUAAUUUCGAUCAAAUCGCGCUUUUUUUUUGGUCAAAUCAUGUUUCCCCUUGAUGUAUGUUGCGAAUCAUGGUAGGGGAAUUGGGGAUUUUUGUUGAUCUCCGCGAGAUUAGAGUUUUGAUGGUUGGGCUUGGAUUUAGACAUGGCGGAGAAGGUGAGAUUCGUUUUAGGAUUCGUUCUCAGCUUCUGAGAUCUGGGUAUUGUUUCAUCCCAGAUCUAGAGAGAUUUAGAUGAGUUUAUUCAAUUCUAGGAACUUUUGACCAAAUCCAAGUUGUAGGAAACCGUAAUUUGGGAUAUAUUCGCAUGAAUCCACUCCGUCGAACUUUUUUUUGCACUCCGUCAAACUUUUUUUUGCAAAAUUUAUUAAAGGCUAGUAAUUGUUUGUAAUUUCCGAUUCUUUUGAAGUAUAUGUUCUCGUAAUAUCGUAGUUAUCCGAAAAGGCGAUAGUGGAGAUCAGAUGAACCAUCGCCGUGCACUGAUCGGAGAGAUAAUGUAGAUUUUUUGGCUUAAAACAUUUGAUCUCUUUAGUAGGAGAUAUGUUUCUAUUCUAAUAAUAGUAUAUGAUUUAGGUGGUUUCCUUUCGUUUUUCCUGUAACUCAUGCAUCAUGAGUUGGGCUUGUAAUGUUUCGAUUUAAUUGCUUCAAUGCUUAUGCAGCAGGUUUUAGAAUUUGGGUUACUUUUGUAAUCUGGAUUUGAUUUAUCUGAGAAAAGUUGCCUUUUGCGUAAUAUCACUGUCGCUUAUGUCGAUAGCAUAGUUCAGUUUCUCGCAAUUUCCUUGUUCGAAGAUCAUCGAAUGUAUAGUUAUUAGUUAAUGCUCCGACUAUUUCCCUUAUUCUUGGUGAACUUUGUAGUAUAAAUUCUCUUUGAUUAUCUGCCGACUAAUGUUUGUUGUUUGUCUUCGAUCUCUGUACUCUCAGAAUGGAGUUUUUCUUCGGUGGCUUUCUCGGCGAAUCAUCCGGGUUGGAGAAAUCGUUUACUCAUCCGGAUAUUCAGAAGUGCCCGUUCCUUCGAAACAUCAAUGAAACUACUAACUUUUCCUUCUCCUCGGCUUUUCCUGUCGCUGUAAGAUUUUACCUUAUGUUUCAGUAACUAUAUUUUCAUACAGAUAUAGAUAAGUUUAUCCUUCCCUAUGUUUGGGAACUGCUCUUUCGAGGGUUAUAUAUGUGAAUUCAGAUUUUACGGGUGUAGACUUUUAAAUAGAAGUUGCGUUCAUAUAAUAAGAUGUUUGCUUUCGUACCAUUUCUAUUAUCUUUCAAAGGCUCGUGGAGUGAAGGGCCCAAUCUUUGAAGAUGGUCCGAGUUUCGACACGGCAUUCAGGCUUUUCCACGGGCGAGAUGGAGUCGUCCCACUUUCGGGAAAAUCAUAUAUUCGUAAUGAGAAUGUGGAACCUGAGCACGUACCCCAAUUUAACCCGUUGGCGGCGAAAGCAGCCACCAUUAGCCUUUCGGCUUUUGGAGGGCCUUUCGGAUUUAAUUUCUUCUCGGACAAGUGGAAGAAGCUGAACAAGAAAUCAUCCAAACAAGAUCAGCGUUCGCAAGUAAGUUUUCCAACCAUCAAAUUUUUCCUAUUCGUAAUUUCUUUCUACCUUUAUGAGUAAUAUUAUUUUCCACAUCCGAACCGGAAUUAAAAUGCCUGCAUAUGCUAAUCUUGCAAAUUGUGGAUAUAUUAUUCCUGCUACUCCCAGGUUUUAUUAAAAAUAAUGAAAUCCUAAAAAUAUCUGUCAUUUUACCCUGCCCAAUAUUUUAGUGGCCCUGUGUUUGUGCGCACAUGCGCGUGAAAUUGUGAUAUAUGGGAAACCAUUUUCUCUUCUUUUUUAUUUUUCGGAGAGAUAUUAUGUAUUAAAUUUCUUAUCACUGUUGCUUCAACUUGUUCUUCAGAAAGGAGGAGGCGACUCAUCGCACGAGGCACUCAGCAACGAAUGGCUUGAAACGGGACAAUGCCCGAUCGCAAAGUCCUACAGAGCAGUAAGCGGUGUCCUGCCCCUUGUCGCAAAAGCCCUACAACCCCCGCCCGGAAUGAAACUCAAGUGUCCACCAGCUGUCGUCGCCGCGCGUGCCGCCCUUGCCCGUACCGCCUUCGUAAAGAACCUCCGUCCCCAGCCCUUACCCGCAAAAGUGCUCGCUAUAGGCCUCCUAGGAAUGGCGGCCAACAUCCCCCUCGGCGUGUGGAGGGAGCACACCGAAAAAUUCUCUCCGCAGUGGUUUGCUGCUGUGCAUGCUGCCGUUCCCUUCAUCGCUAUGCUACGGAAGUCCGUUUUAAUGCCGAAGACCGCGAUGGCCUUCACUAUCGCUGCAUCGAUAUUAGGGCAGACGAUCGGGUCGCGGGCCGAGCGGCUGAGGCUGAAGGCCAGAGCUGCCGCGAGAACCUCCAUCUGUGUUCCAGAAGCUUCCUAUAUAACGAAGGGCAGCGGCCACUGUGGCGAUGGAGAGGUGAAAGUGUGGGAUCCACUUACCAUGAAGGCGGCGAACUCCGGUUAUUCUGCUUCUGCUUCUGCUGCAGCUCCAACUGCUGCUGCUGCAAAUGUGUGUUUCUGAUGAUGUUUUAAGUGUUAUUCAUGCUGUGGAAGACACCUACAUGUUUUGUUAUCUCAGUUUAUUAAGAGUAAUUCCCCUUGAAUCAUUAGCUUGUAAUGUUGAACCAGAGGAGGUGAAAAAGUUGAAUAAAGGGUAGUAAAAAACACUUACAAAAUGCUACCUUUUUCCUCUUAGUAUGUGAUGAAUUUCCAUGAUUGGUGAUUGUUAUAUGUAUACACUCAAAGAGACUCCCUUUUUCCUUCUUUUUUUCCUGAAAAUGGGAAAAUACUUUCUUUUUUUUCCCUUUAAUGGAUGGAAUAUAUGUUGUGUGAUGUGUGAAAGAGAGGGAAGAGUCAAAGAUGCUCUUUUCUUUUGGAAUAUGUCAAAAUUGGCUUCUUUUGGAGAUUUCAAAAGAAGCCAUUUAAGAUGACAUGAAUUAUGAUUUGUCCUAAAAAAGAGCAUAUUACAAUAAUACAUAUAUUAUAUAUAACACUUACAUUAUAUCAUCCAUCACCUGUCAAUCACAUACCACUUUUUAAUCUCUGCUACCGUUUGGUUCGGGGUUAAGAAAAAAUUAGUGAUUUCAGAAAUAGGGUUAAGUUUAGGAUUAAGGUGGGGUUAGAGUAUUUUUGUGUUUAGUUAGGGGUUAGAGUUAGUUCAGGAUAGUGAAAAAUAGUGUUUGGUUGAAGUAAUGGGAUAAGAAUGAUAAUAGGUUAUUAUGAAUAGAAAAUAGUGUUUGGUUUGGAUUUGGUGGGGCUAGGUGGGGGUUAGCUAAUCCGGGAUAACCAAUUUGAGGUGGGGAGGUGGGGUUAGCUGGGGUUAGCUAACCCCACCUAUUUUUAGAAGUGUUUGGGGAUAAAAUGGGGGUUAAGAGAUUAUUCCACCUCUUAACCCCAACCAAACGGAGGGAGGCAUAUUUAUUUCACCAAAAAUAGAGGGAUAGAGAUAUUCUCGAUUGUAAAUAUUUAAUUUUAUUAUUUGAUUCGCUGUAAGGUAAAUUUGUCUAUAAUUUUGUAGUUUCAAAAUACUGUAAUUAACUUAUUAAACUGUAUAAUACGCGGCAAUAAUGGCACAAACUAGCAAUAUCAAAACAGUGUAGGGACCAUCCAAAGCAUGUUCCCUUUUAUUUAUUGGGUAUGGUUUUUUUUUUUUUUCAAUAAAUUAUAACACAGGUAGGCAUUAGCUGCAUUCUAAUUUAUUUAUUAUUCAAUGUUGGAGGGGUUGAGAAUGUUUAUUUUAUUAGUUGAACUUCCGAUGGUUUGGUAGUACCUAACAUGAAAAUAUUUCAUAUCAUAUAUAUACAAUUCAUACAUCACAAUUUAUAUUAAGCAAUCAGUAUUAAUAUUUUAAAGUUAAAUAUAAUUACAUAAAUAUAAUUUGUCAUAUUUAAAAUAUUGUUUAUAAAAUUUAGAUAAAACUUUAAAUACCACCUCAUGUAGUGUCGUAUUCAAAUUAAAAUUUAAAAUUAUAUAUUUAAUUUUUAAAAUUUAACUUAUAUUUUAAUUUAAAAAGUUGAAAAAAUAAAUUUAAUCCGAAUAAAUAUCCAUUCCGUCCGGAUUCAACUUUCAAUCCGGCCUCUUAGGCCGGAUUGAAAAAAGGGAUGAUUGGGGCAUUUCUAUUCCACUCGGGAAUCGGAAUCGGAAUGGAAUUCCCGCGUACCAAACACCCACAAACGGAUUCACCCAUUCCGAUUCCGAUUCCAUGGUGAAAAAGAAGUGAACCAACACGCCCUUAGUUUGAUUGACUCGUUUUAAAUAUAUUAUUUAAAAAAUAAAUAAGCUAUUUUAUUAUUAUUAUUUUUUAGCGUACGUAACGUAAUCUUUUGACGAUUCUAAGCAUAGCCUCACAUCCAAAAAGAAAGAGCAUAAAAAUACAUAAAGUUUAUCUUAACUAUCACUCAUUUUGAUACGAUUAUCUAAUCUUUUAAAAUUUUGAUUUCACUAUUUAACUUUUAAUUUAUUUGAUUUGAGCUAGUUAAUAACUCUCUAACUUUAAAAUUCAAGUAUGUCGUUUAUACUUAACAGCUUAAUUAGUACAUUUUAUAAAAUUCGUAUAGUAAUAAACUUGUUAAGGUAACUAAUUAUCGUAAAUUUUAUAUCGAAAGAAUCAUCAAAUGACUUAAUCAAAUAAAGUGAAAAGUUGGAUAUUAAAACUCAAUCUUUUAAAAUAUUAGAUAACCUAAUCAAAGCGGAGUACAGUUUGUUGGCUAAUUAUUAUUAGACUUAAAUAGAUCCAACUUACUGCCAUGUGACAAUAGGUUUAAAAAACUAAUAAAUUGAGUUGAGUGAGACUGCGAUCUAUAAGAGACAUAACGGUAAGAGGUCCAACAAUAGAUCUAAAGUUCAAGUGGGUUGAGUCAGGUCGAAGCCCGUGAGCACUAUAGUUAAGCCCUUAAGUGCGAUGGGUGUGUCAUUUCUAUUAACAUGUAUUUUUGGGAGAGUUGGUUAGCACUCACGAUUCACACAGUUCAAAUAAAUUUUAUAUAUUUUUACUAAGAGAGAGAGAGAGGAUUGAGGCUAGGGAUGCAAACUGGACUAAUACGGAAUGUAAAAGAUCCCCUCCAUGCUCAAUUUAUUGUUGGCGCGACUUAAUUUUAAUUUUAUUAUUCUCUUAUUACUCCAUUCAGGGUGUAUCAGGAUGGGAGCAAAUUUUUGAUAGAUCAAAAUGGAUCAAAUGAAGAAAGAGGUCUCCUACUUACUGCUUCAUUUAUUUAGGCUUCGUUUGGGAUUGCAGGUAGAUUGCGUUACGUGCGAUGAGAAACGACGAUGAAAAAAUAUUCUGUUUGUUUCCGUACAUAAUAUUGUGUUCCGCAUAUUGCGUUUAGUCGGUUACGAUAUAUUUUCUGCGAUCCCAUCGGAGAACGCAGAAGCAUAUCUCUAUAUGCUUUUUCUCAACUCCAUUGCAUCUAAUAGCGUUAGAUGCAUUUCAAUACCAAACUAAGCCUUAGUCGGUCAAAAUGAAUUUGGGACGAAUUAUAUAUUUUUUAUAUUUUUUUAAUUCUCACUUAAAAAUAAAUCGAAACGGAUACAAAUGGAAGCUCCACCGAUCCGAAUCCAUUUGCAUCUCUCCUACUAGAGUUUAGGAGGGAAUUUCAAAAUGGCUUUUAGCCUUUUUGAGAGCUCUCCUCCAAUCUUCUUAUUACAUUUUUACCCGCCCGCCCAUAUUUGUACCGCCAAAUUUCUGGCGCCAACCCUUCCCGCCAAAAAAACCCCCAAAUCCCAUCCCCGACCCAUCAUCUAUAAAAUCCCAAACCCUACCUCCUCCUCUUCCCCUACUUCACACACCUCUCUCUCUCUCUUAGGGUUAUUCUCUCUCUCUCUCUCUCAAGAGGUGUCGUUGAGCAAUGGUGGUGGCGCUGGGGCCGGGGCGGUUCUACGGGAGCGGGCUCCCGCGGCCGCGCUUCUAUAGCGACGUGAAGCUCGGCGGCGCCCGGGUCGACCCGCCGCGGCCCGUGAUGGACCCUCUCCUCUCGUGGGCGCACGAGGCCCACUGGUCCAUGGGCGGCCUCUCCUUUGUCCGCCGCCGCCUCCAGGGCCGCAUCGAGGGCUCCGUCUCCAAGCUCCGCCGCCGCCUCCAACGCCGCAGCUCCCCCCGAAAGGCCCCCCAAAAAUCCCUCCCCGUCCUUGAUUCCGACUACGAUGACUCCUCUGAUUCACAAGAAGAAGUGGGAGGGGAAGUAGUGAAGGACGUUACCUUUGAUGAUGAUGAUGAGGAGGAAUCUGAUGCUGAUAAGAGGAGGGGCAGGAGGAAGAGGAAGCUCGGGGACGAGUUUGAUCGGAUCGCUGGAGCACAAGUGGCGGGUGGGAUCGGGCGGAGGACGCGGAGCCGAAGAGCGGAAGUGGAGAUCGGGGAGACAUCGUUGGUGCCUCCGCCUUCUCCUACUUAUACAGUUUCUGAGAAGGGGAAGAGGAAGCAGAAGAAGGUGGAUGCUGGGGUUGUGCGGAGGACGUCGCUGAGGAAGAAGCACUUGUAGUUGUUCAUCAAAGUUUGAGGUAAAAAUGGCAAUUUUCUGAUAUAAAUAAGUGAAAUUGAGUAGAUGUUAGGUUCUGAUGCACUUGUGUUGUUUGAUGUUUUUAUUGUGAGACUUUCUUGGUUGUUUACUUGCUCUCUGUAAGAGGAUUCUCUAACUCCUGGAAAUGAUACAGUUUGCUAAUGAUAGUUUAUGUGAAUUUGAAUUUGCACUUGAAUUUGGAGUGCUUGUUGAUUGAUGUGUUAUGUGGAGCUUAUGAAAGAUAUGAAAUUAUGCAACAAAAGUACACAUAGAUGGGUGUUUGUGAAAGGUCUACAUUGCAAAAAUCCUUGAAAAAAUAGUUUUUUCUUUUUAUACAUAACCCUGCAAAUGUGCAAAUUGUUUAUACCAAAAAAAUUGGUACUUGUUGUUUAUUUGUGUGUGCAUGUUUUUAUGGCACAUGGAUGCAAAAAUCAAGGAAAUUUAUGUGAAAAGUGUAGCUCAUGUUACCCCUGUAAAUACUGAAAUUUCAGGAGUGUUUGUGCAUUUUUGCUUGUUUACAGGGGUGCAUACCUAAAGAAACCAUGAAAAAGAAUUGUUAAGUUUAGAGGCCCAAUCAGUUGAAUAAUUCAUCCUUUUUUUUUUGUAACAUACAAAGCAUUUUGGAGAAAACGAGAAAUGUGUAUUUAACACGUAAUUAAUUAGUUGAUGUUGGAACUGAGAUGAAUUAUAAUCUCAUAUUUAAUCUUCCUUCAAAAGUUAUAUUCAUGGAUCAAGCAAUGCAAAAAUUGAAACAAGUUGCCUUGUUAAUAUCAUCCUAAUAUUGAAUGUUAGGAGAUUUGAAACUUGAAUGUUGCAUCUCCUAUCCUUCAACAUUAUGCUAACUGAUAUCAAAAUUAGCCAGAUCAUCGACUGCUCGUUUCAGAUAUAAUCCUCUCGAUCUCUUCUAGUAGCCGCUCCUUUUCAUCCAUCAGUUCCUCAUUCUGCUUUUGAAGCUCUUCGAUUUGCUUGGUCUGUUCCGAGUCUUUCCUGAAAUCGCAUCAUGCAGUGUUCGGUGAAUGAGUGUGGUAACAUUCUCUUUUUGUAGUGAUAUGUUGAAGUGAUCUAAUAAUGAAGAGCAUGAAUGUAUUGGUCUCCAAAUACCAUAGCAAGUAGUUUUGAAUACAAGCCCUAUAAUUUGUAACAUAAGAAAGCUUUGCUUAACAGAAGUUCAAAAAGCCAUAAAUGAUUUUGUUUCUUCUUGAAACGACAAAUUGCAAAUGACCACCAUGAGUAGACUUUGCUAUUCUUCAUUUUCUGAUCUUAGGGCAAAAAAUUCAACUUACCUAUUCAUGAAAGACAAGUUGAGCUUAAGCGACCGCACUUCCUUCUCGAGAUUCUCGCAGCGCUUAAGGACUGCUUGCAUAUCAGAUGGUACUGUUGGGGUCAAGUUUCUUUCUUUUGCUUCUGCCAUUCUAGAAAAAAGAAAGAGAGUUGAUUAUCCAAAUGUUUAAAUUCCAAGUUUUGCACUUAGUGUUCUGUAAUAGGGCAUUUCAUUGUAAUUGUUUUACUGUAAUAUGAAACUACAAUAUGGGGGAAAAAAAGGAGAGAAGGAAACAACUCCUUUUGUCCUUCUAGAAUGAAAAUUAAGUUCAGUUUUUUCCAGCUAUUAUUGCAUAUUGUUGUUUCAGAACAUCACUCUUUAUAUUGAUGAUGAAUAUAAAGGUGAUUUUGGUGUUAUAUGUCAGAUUUAUGGUGUUAUUUAAUUGCAAAAAGUAUAGUUCUGAGCCAAGUUGUCCUUAAAAUUAAUGGUUUAGUGUGGGUUGUUUUCGAAUUUGAUUAUACAGUAGGAAAUAUGGCCUCCUUUUUUUUUUUCCUAGUUUGCUUUGGAUAUGAAAUUUUUUGACUCCUAACAGCAAACCGAUCUCUUGCGAGCUUCAAUACAUCAGAAAAUUUACAACUAAUGGAGUGAAAAGGAGAUUAAUAUAAUAUGCAUUAGAGUUAAGAUAGUAAAGCAGUAGAUACUCAAAGGUUCCUUGUUUUCUCAUGUAUGCCAAGUCAAAGAAAAAAAAGAGAAAAAUAAAUGAGUAAAUGCAGGCAAUUUGUAUCACAAUUUGUGCUAAGCUAUCAAAAAUUUUGUAUAUAAAAGUAGAUAUUAAAUUUUUCCUAGGGAUACAAGUAAUAAGAGAGACAUACUUGCGUGAACGCUCGACCCUGCGUUUCUUUGUUGGGUCUCCUUUUUCCGCUGCAAAAUUUUAUAAGUUAGAAUAAUUUACGACGUAAUAUUCUGCAAUAGUUGUGCUUUGGGAAUAAAGAAAUUACUAUUUGAUUUGCCCGCAAAUUUCGAUUGUCUUAGAAACUUACACAAACACAAUUUUGAUGAUGAAGAAUAAAUGUUAAGAGAAUAGAAGCUGAAUCAGUAGCAUAAGAAAAGCAAGUGAACAUUCCAAUAGAUGCUAUACUGAAACAAGUAGUAUGUAAACUUUGGUAUGAUUAGUCCAAAUUAACUAAAGUUACCUGAGCUUUCUGAUUGGAUCGAUCCCAUCCGGCUUAGAUUUCCAUUCUGUCAAGGUUGAAAAUAAAGAAAACAAAAAAGUUCACAAAAAUUGAUUGGAAAGAGUCUUCGAGACCAAGAUAUCCAUCAUCUAAGCUUCUUUUAUGAUUUUUAUGUCACAAAAUCGGUUUAAAACUUACCUUCCUGUCAUUAUGUAAGCUUUCUUUGAAUAUCCUCCCUCUGCUUUCUGUAUUUUGAGAAGACAGACAGAAAGUGAGUAAAUUUUGAAAAAUGUAAAGAAAACUCCAUAAUGUUUUCAGCACUUCAAACUGUGAAUGGAUUCGACUUCGGAAGGGAACAAACCAUUAGUUUUUGAUCCAGAGUCUGAAAAUCCAGUAAUGAUAUUCUUUCUUGUACUCUCACAAGAAGCAGAUACAGCUUGCGCGGAGUAAGAAGUUCCAUCACAUGCAUCAAAACCAGCAUUUGAUGAUCCGCUUUGCGACGGCUCUCGGGACACUGCACCUACCCACAUCUGGUUUUGUGGUGUGACAAAGUUUUCUGUGUUCGCUUCUACCGUUCUCUCAAACUUCGGCAAUUGAAAGGUACAUUGCGUUCCGAGGAAGCUGUUAUUGUUAGCUUGGACUUGUUGAGCCGCAUAAAAGCCGAAAGGAUUGGCUUGAGAGUUUUCUCUCUCCAUAUAGUUACCGAGUUUUUUGCGGUCGAGCGUGUCCUUUAGCAUGCUCACGACAGAAGAGACCGUAUCGUUUGUUGUUACCAGAGGAGCAUCGAAAGGAGAAGUCGAUGAAUUCGAAGGAGACAUGAAUGUAGUCGGCAUUUCGACCAUCGAGAUUUCACAGGGAUUGUUGGUGUUUGUGAGAUCAUUUUUUGUGGAGUUAUUUCCCUGUCCUUGAUUGUUAUUUUGGAUUUCGGUAGUUGCAGGUACCUGAAUACUUUGCAUAGCUGCAUAUCUCCUCCUGCAUAUAGAUUACCAACUCUUGUUAAGAUAAUAGUGUAAUAGUACCCCAAAAUUGCAACUGUCCUUAAAUUUUCUCUUAAAUAUUUUAGUCCCCGAACUUUAUCAUAUAUUGCGAUUACAUCUCCUGCUGCAAAUGUUUAUGACACUUCAAAAUUUUUUUUUAUUCCCAUUAAAAUAGUCAUUGUAAAGGAAAGAGUUGGAAAUCUUGGAUCAGCUAUUUUCAUGCGUAUUAUGCUGUCGGAUCUUAAACUUUUGUGUAUACCUCUUGAAAUUGCUUUGAGCCCUACCUCAAUUCGGAUGAUCGACUUCGAGUCAUUGGUUGAGUACUAUGAAACCAUGCCUGCAUGGGAUGCAAAAGAGCGACAAACAUCUACCAAUUAGAACACCGGGGGAUGCAAAAUCAGAUACUGCAACGACCCAUUAGCAAUAAUAACUCGUUGGGUCUAAACCACCGGUCUAAAAUACUUAAGCUCAGUUAUUAUUACCAGCGUGGAGGUCUUAUAUAUACCAAUCAGAAUUAUUUUUCCAUCUUGAUGUGAGAUUAUUGGGGUGUUACAUAUACAGUAGAAACAUCCUUAUUAUUGAAAUCUUGCAGUAAAACCUUUACAUUUGCAAACUAUAAACAUACUUAUUGCUCAAAUGCUGCAGAAAAAUCUUUACCUUUGCCAGAUACAAAUUGCUAGCUUGCAUUCCUAUCUCUGCAGCAUUCCUAAUCACACGAAAUUAGCAAACAUUAGCAUAAAUAUCAGAAACUUGACGACCAAAUAGCGAACAGUUCACAAGCAUGCAAAGGUAUUCUCUGUAGCCACUUCGAGCAACGCCGCGUAUGCCUUAAAAUGCACUCAAGAGAAUCAUUAGCUUUUCAGAGUUGAUGUCUUAUUAGGUGCUAUGUUCGAAAUUUGAAAAGCUAAAUCAAUAAUUAACUGUCAUGUGUACAAAACUUACUCAUCAAUGUAUUUACAAGUGUACGAGGUACCUGAGGGACUGCUGGGUAAAGUUAUUUGAAAGCUCGUCAGAUGCGUCGAAAUUCUGCUGAGGUAAAUUCUCGUCGAAAGUUUUCUUCUGGGCAAGUCCAUUUUGCUGGCUCGAAAGAGCUGCAAGCUCUGCUGAUAUCCUGCAAAUUGCACAAGUAAGCGAUUUAAAGUUUGCGCCUGUACGAAGAGUUGUAUCCAGGAAUCUGUAAACGCAUGCUACGAGCUCACCUCCGCGACGGUUGUCGAGUACGGUGAGUUGCUGAGUUGUAUCCAGGAAUCUGUAAACGCAUGCUCAUUAGUGGAUCUAAUCAGAGGAAUGAUAUAAAACGGCAUCGCAAAUGGCGAACUAAACAUCUGAUUCAGAAAAGAGAAGGAAAAGAUUACAAAUUCUUGCCUCCGCACUCAUAAGCCAGCUAUUAAACAGCUUCUCGCUGUCCUCGCGAAAGCCCAGCAUCUCCACGCUAGUUGGCGCCGAAGCCCCGAUCGGAUUUUCCAUCACCGAUUUCAGAAACAUCUCUUCUGUAGAGUUCCUGAACAAGUCGGAGAAACUCCCCUCCAUCUCCAUUUAGCCCUAACUAGUAAUAAUAUUACAUUGAGAAUUUUAGACUAAAUUCACUUCAAAAUUCAAGCAUUAAUGCUUCAACAAGAACUUCACUUUGGAUUCAAUUACACUAAUAUUUAAACAAGAAAAGAUAAAUCUGAUCCAUCAGUAAACUCAGAAACUUGAUUGGUAUCUCUAAUUUCUUCUGAAAAAUGAAAACCCUGACUACUGGGUAUCUCCGCGACGCCCCAACUAAUGAAUUUAGACUAAAUUCACUACCAAAAUUCAAGCACUAAUACAUGAACAAGGUUUCAAUUUGAUGAAUCAUCAAAAUUGGGAACUGGGUGUCUGAAAUUUCAUCUGAAAAGUGAAAAUUUAAUCUCUUAAAUUGAAAACACUAACUUAUAAUACAUCAAGAAUUUAGACUAAAUUCACUACCAAAAUCCAAGCACUAAUACAUAAACAAGGUUUGAAUUUGAUCAACCAUCAAAAUGAGGAACUGGGCACCUCUAAUUUCACCUAAAAAAGUGAAAAUUUAAUCUCUUAAAUCGAAAACACUGACUAAUAAUAAUACAUCACAAAAUUCAAGCACUAGUACAUGAACAGGGUUUGAAUUUGAUCAAGCAUCAAAAUUAGGAACUGGGCAUCUCUAAUUUCAUCUAAAAGAGUGAAAUUUAAUGUCUUAAAUCGAAAACACUGACUAAUAAUAAUACAUCACAAAAUUCAAGCACUAAUACAUGAACAAGGUUUCAAUUUGAUCAAGCAUCAAAAUUAGGAACUGGGUAUCUCUAAUUCAUCAAAAAAAGUGAAAAUUUAAUGUGUUAAAUCGAAAACACAAUAGAUCAUGCUGGGUUUUGUAUGAAACUGCAAAAAUUGAUCUCUAAAUGACUCACCUUUAUUAUCACUAAACCCCACAAAACCAAAAAAAAAAGAGGGGGAGAGAGACUCAAAAUUGUGCUUAGAUUCUCAAUUAAGAAGGCCUUAUAUUAGUAGAAGUAUACAACCAAAAGUAUACAACACACACAAACACAACCAAAAAUAUACAAAAAAAGAAAAGAAAAGAAAAAAGGUGACACUCUCUUAGGCAUUUCAUCAAAUGUCAACAGUGUGAACACAUCAAAGGGAAUUAUUCAAAUUAGGAAAAAGAAAUGCAUGGAGACCCCUUAACUAUAGGCAAUUUUAAAAUAGACCCCUUAAAUUUAAGUACAAUUGUAAAGUUAAUAGCUAAGGUAAAAAUAGAAAUUGAGGGGUGUAUUUCAAAAUGGACUAUAAUUGAGGGGGGUUUCAAUUCAUUCUUACUUUAAAAAUCACCAUUACCUGCUUAUACUAAACAAUGCUUUAAUUUCCACCCUACACUUUACAAGCAUAUUACAAAAAAAUUUGGGGUAAUUAUUGAGUCUAGUUGCAUAACUUCACUAAAAUGAGUUAGCUGACACUGGAGAUGUCAAUGGAUGCGGAUAUCUGAAAUAUUUUUCGAAUCUGAACUCUAAGGGAGUAGAUUAUCCGAUGCUAAACAGAAAUAGUUUCGGAUGCAAAUAUGAAAAAUGAAAAUCCGAUGGAUUUUGAUUCGGGUAUGGAUUUUAUCUGUAUCUGAUUUGAAUACAAAAUCUAUAUUUUGAAAAUUUAGAUUUAAUGUAAUAAUAUGUUUUGAAAUAUGGUAAAGAGAAAUAAUUGUUUCGGGUUUGACUUUUCGGGUUCAGGUUUCGAAUUUUUAUUCGGGUUUCGAUUUGGAUAUGGAUUUUUAAAAUCCAUCAGAUUUCGGGUUUGCAGUUGGGUUUGGGUUCAGAUUUUUAAAAAUCCGCUCCGAAUCUGACCCGUUAAUAUCCCUAGCUAACGCAACGUGCAAACGUAUUUCCAUGAAGUUCUUCAAUUGAAUUCAACAAUUAUCUUAAUUUUUGGACCAAUUUGAGAUAGAGACAAAGCGCAGGGCGGAAAAUGAAGCAGUUUUUAUUAUAAGGGGGUAAUUAAAACAUAUCUAAAGUGCGAGGGGGCAUUUUUUUUGUGUUAUUUAGCCUAAAAAUUAUGUAAAUUGGAGUAAAAUAUGAUCCAAAUGAGCGAAUCUUUUCAUAAGUUUCAACUAAAUAUUCCUUGGCCAUGUUUUUGUCUCUUUCCACAAAAAUGUGGAGAAUUUAUAAGACCCAACUUUGGAAUUUAUUCAAGUAGUUUUUUAUAUAAUUUUUUGAUGUAGUAUAUUAGAUGAGAUAGGAACAGUGAUAGGGACUACAUAGUUAUUUUUUAAUUUUACAUGGUAGUAGUACUAAAUAAUGAAUUUUAAAAAAUGGAGGGAGUGGGGAUUUAUGAAUUUCUUUUUUUUUUUAUGUGACAAAGAUGUUGAAAGGGACCACAAUAAGACUUUCCAAUUCAAACCAUUUUUUUUAAAAUUUUUGUUUAAAAUAAUUUAAAAUUACCAAAUGCUGGCCAUUAGGUGGCAAGUCUUUGUCUAGUCACUUUUUGUUUCUGAUUUUAGCAACAGUUAUUUCUGGUGGAGUGUUUUGUAAAAUAAAAAAAUUCGGUGCUUCUGUAGUAUUGGAGAAAACAAAAAUAUUGAGAAUCUAAUGCUCAAUAGCUAGGGCAAGUUUUGAAAUACGAACUACGGGGAAGUAGUAGUAAGUGUGUAAAAGUUGAAACAAAAGGCAUUUAUCUGCGUGCUGGAUUUUUAGAUUUGUUUGGAGUCAUACGACACAUUGCAGUGAGUACGCAUGAUUUGGAGUUCCUCGCACUCGCGACUCAUGAAAAGCAUUGUUGAACCUUAGACACGUUCUUUUGUAUGGUAUCAGAGAGAUACGUUAUCAGAGAAACGACGGUAUUUUUAAUAUUUUUACUCAAAACAUUCUCUGACGUCUGAACUCGAGACUUGUUGAAAGGCCCAAGACAUGGAGGCCUGACGGAAUUCGAACUCAAGACCUUUUGCUCUGAUACCAUAUUAAAGAAUAUAAAAUAAUUAUUUAUUUUCAAAAGCCUAAUAUUUAUAUUUAAUAAUAUUUGCGGUGUUUUCACUUGUUAUAUUAUAUUAUACUACAUUAAAUUUUGAAUUCUAUAAUUAUAUGUCUUAAAAAAAGAAAAGAAUAUUUUGCGCAAUAACCGCUCAGUUCUCCGGUAAUUGCAUGUAAGUUUUUCAAUUCUUUAUUGUUUAAACUCCGCUAAAAUGCAAAAACCAUUCUAUGAAUAUCUGCUUUUGCACUUUAACCCGCUUAUUUUUUUUAAGAACUUUUUUUUUUCGUUUUAGAUUUUAAAAAUUGCAACACUUAAUCCAGCAUCAUUACCGUUCCAUCACUAUAUUUUCAUUACUAUUCUUUGUAUAAAUUAUGUGGUGCAAUCGAGUAACUUACUGAAACACCCAAUAUACCUUCAAAAAAAGUAAGAAUGGUUAAAACUCUUUUAUUUUCUCUCAAAUUAGAUAACUUUAUAAAAGAGAUCUCUCUUUUUUUUUCGUCGAUUUUAAAGAUGAAAUGGAUAUAUCAGUAUUUACCCAGUUGUACUCUAUAAUGUAUCCAUGGCACAAUGACGAAAUAGUAACAGUGCGAGAUUAAGUACAUACUAUAAAAGUGGAUAUUUAUAGUUGUUUUCUACAUUUUAGCCUUUAUAUUAUAGUCCAUUGAAUCAUCCUCUUAAAUUAAAAAAAAAAAAGAGAUGAAAGCCGGCAAGUCAAAAUGCCAUUUUUAUUAGUAUACUACAAGAAGAGUUAUCCUUUGGAAUAUUCUUACUAAGUUAAGCAUAUAUAUAAUAUUAAUUUUUAGUAAUACCUUAUUUGAUGAAUGUAUGAUGGAAUAAGGGACAACAUAUAGCAACUUAAAUUCAAUUAGUUUUUAGUGGGAGAACUAGGACUAGGAAUGUUUCUCUUGGCUAUUUAUUAUUGGCUAAAAUAUAUUUUUAACUUUCUCAACCGUGACAACAGGUCUAUGAGAUUAAUAAAUCGAAUAGAGCUGCGGUCCACAAUAGAUGGAAUGGUGAGAGACCCAACAACAAACGUAAUGUCCACGGGUGGAAUCAGAUCGAAGUUCGUGAAGUGCUGUAACUGAGUUCUUAAGUGCAAUGAAUGUAUCAUUUUUAUCAAUAUAUAUUUAGGGGAUAGUUGGUUAAUACUUACGAUUCACAGUUUCUUUAAAAGAUUUUUGCUUUAAGAAAGAAAGAGAUCCUACAUUUUGGGAAUGAUAUAAGCCUUUGACCAAAUUGAAUUUUGAUUUUUUUUUUGUGUUUUUUGAGAAAAAAAAGGAGCAAGAUAAUGUAGUGAAUGUGAUGGUUGUGUUAACUCAAAAUGCAUGAAUUUUGCCCUCCAAACGAUUUGUCUUGCAUUGCAUGUAUGGAUGAUAUAAUAUUCGCCUGCAAAAUUUCCGUUUGGGAUUACGAGGAGUACACAUAAGGUGUGAUAGAAACACGUACGCCGUUCAGAUCGCAUCGAUCGAUUAAGAUAUGCUUUCGAUGCAAAUUUUUUUCACCAAAUAGAAUUUCAGUCCUCAGUUAGGACUUGAAAAUUGUUUUUCGUUUUAGAAAGGCACAAGCAGAAGUUCAAAUUCGCGCCUUAAAAAAAAAAAAAAACGAAACAAAACUUGACCUUCUUUUAUGUCAAACUAAUUGAGACAAGCCGGCAUAUCAAAAUGCCAUUGUCAUUAUAUUGCAAGGAGAGUUUUCCUUUGGAAUAUUAUUAAGGUAAAACAUAUGAUUUUAAUUUUUAGGAUAAACUUCAAAUACUGUCCCUGUAGUUUCGCACUUUUUCACUUUAGUAUCAUGUAGUUUAAAGUGUAUUAAGUUAGUACCAUGUGGUUUCAUUUUUCUCUUUUCGUUAGUUCUUUCAUUAAUAUUUCGUUAAAUUAUAUACAAAAAACGUCAGAUAUUCCACCUAGGUUUAUCGAAUAUUCACUUUAGAACCCUUUAGUUUUAACUUUGUUACUGAUUUAACGAAAAAAAUAAGUAAAAUGGAUAAAAAAAAAAAAAAAGGCACAGGGUACUAAAUUGAUACACUUUAAAUUACAGGGUACUGAAGUGAGAAAGCGCGAAGCCAUAGAGAUGGUAUUUGAAGUUUUUCCUAAUUUUUAAUAAUAAUUUAUUUCAUGAAUGCAUGAUGGAAUGGGUGACAACAAUGGUAACUACAUUUCAACUAGUUGUUAGUUGUAGAACUAGGGCUAGAAGUGGUUCUUUGGAAGGUUUUGCUUUACAUUUCAUAGUUCAAAUUUUAAUUUUAAUUUUUUUUAUUGAAAAAUUGAUCUAAUAUUUUGGGAUGAUAUAAGCCUAUCACCAAAUUGAUUUUUUGUUUUUGUUUUUUUUUUUAAAAAAAAGAAAAGAAAAAGAAACAAGAUUAUUGGAUUUGAUGAUUGGGCGGGCUAAAAAGACAUGAAUUUCGUGACAGCCACUUGGUUGAGGACCUCCUAUGUUGUCGCUGAGACAGUUUGGCGAGCCGUAUGAUUUACUCCACUUCUAUUUAAAUCUCAACAUCGUAUUGAACGACAGAUUUAGAGGAAGCCCAAUAAAGUUAAGUGGAAAGCUCUAUAUUCUUUCUUUUUUUUUUCAAAAUUUGCCCUCCUAAUAAUUUGUCUUUUAAUGCAUGUAGCUUGCUGUGUAACAUGCGACAAAAACACAUAAAAAUAAGAGACAAUAUCUAAUAUGAUCUCCAAAAUUUUAAAAGUAUCUUAUUUACUCUUGAAGGACUAAAAUACUUUUAUUGAUUUUUAACAAAUUCCUUCAAAUAUCUCUAUUUUUUAAAGGAUUUACUAAUGGGGUUGAAUUUUAGAUGAAAAUUUUGAAUAGUAGUAAAGGAUAAAUAAGCAAAAGCCCCUAAAAAUAAGUUAAUAAUGUAAAAAUAAUACUAUGGACCACUUUUAAUGUAGGGUUAAUUUCAUACAGUUCCCUGCAAAUAUAGUGAGUUGCAAAUAUAUCCCUACAAAGUACAACUUUCACAUAUUGUCUCUGCAAAAUUCCCCAUAAUUUCAAAUAUAUCCCUGCCGUUAAGAUCCGUUAGAAAAAAUUAGUUAUCCAUAGAUAAAAUACUUAACCAUAAUUUUUACUCCUGUUCAAUGAACAAUGAGGACUUUUGAAGGGACAUAUUGCAAAUCACUAUGUUUGCAGGGACCUAUAUGAAAUUAACCCUUUAAUGUAAGGGUCCAUUUAUGACUGUUCUCUUAAUGGGCCAAAAUACGGCCCACAAACAUGGGCCUAAACGUGGGCCUCCCAAAGAUCAGGACCGUCGAUUCUAGGGUUUCGAUCACCACCGCACCUCCUCCACCCCUCUCUCUCUCUCUUUUAUCUCCGCCUCGUUCCUCUCCCCCAAUCCUUCUCCUUCUAAAACCCUAGAAAAGAGCUCCGCCGCAUCCCGUCUCCAACGCCCUCCGCGGUGGAGCGAGCUCGGAUCCGAUCCCGGUAAACGAUCUCCUCCUCCUCCUCCUCCUCCUCCUCCUCCUCCUCCCCUUUCUCAUCAUAUCCACGGUUUCGUCGAAUCCGUGGCUGGACUUGUCGAUCAAUUUUUGAUCUCAUUUCGUUCAACUAUGCUUUGGAUUAUGAUGGAGCAUAAUUAGGGUUUUGUGGAGUAUGCAAUAGAGCAUCUCAUUUCGUUCAAACGUGCUUUGAUUCCUCAGAUGGAGAUCUAAUGGCUUAGCUGUAGCUGAGCUAUGAUGGUUUCUUAUUUUGUAGCAAUCAUCCAUGAUUGGGUUUAGAGGUAGUUGGUGUUGAGAUGUUUUUGAUAUCUAUUACAAAUUUUAGUGGUUUAAUUGUCCAUGCUUCUACAUGAAGCUUCAAAUUGCUUGCUUCUAGCUCUGUGAAAGAUUUGCAUUUGGGCUGAUCCUUGUAUAGCUUGUUUUUGGUUUUUGUGGUUCUCAAUGUUUUGCUCGAUAGUGAAAUAAUUUUUUUGCCUUUAAUCUGUUUGUAGUCCACUUGUUUCUAUCCAUGUUCAGAAUGUAGUGUUCAGUAUGGUAAUUAGAAUGGAUUAUUUAUGGUAGAGUUGAGCAUAUCUAAAUCUCAGUAUGCAUGUUCUUCUUCGAAACAUUUGUUUUUCUUGCUGCUAAAUUUAUCGUUGAUCAGGUGGUAAACAAUGGUGAAGCAUAACAAUGUUGUGCCAAACGGGCACUUCAGGAAACAUUGGCAAAAUUAUGUUAGGACCUGGUUUAACCAGCCUGCUCGCAAAACCAGAAGACGCAUUGGUAGGGCUCUCUCUCUCUCUCUCUCUCUCUCUCUCUCUCUCUCUAUGCAGAAAUACAUCUACAUGUAGUUGUACUUGUAUGCUGAUACACACAUUUGAGUGUCCCUAUUUAUCUAAAUGUCAUCUUCGGAAAUAUUAGCAUGCCGGAAAUUGGAUAAGCUAAGAGACCGUAAUUGAGGGAAGUUGUUAUUGGAAUCUGUUUGGUGGAAAGAUAGUAGUAGUAUAUUUUGAAUCUUUAAUUUAAAUAUCUCAUAUUGUCUUGAACCGUGAUGAAUGACCCACAUAUACGGUCUUUAAAUGUACAAUUGUCAGAAUGAUUUUAUGCACUUUUUAAUUGUGUGUGUACAGGUUUAAGAUAGUUUAAUCUUACUUUAGGUUCUGAGUAAUUAGCCAAGAGAGUCCCUACGUGAUUAAAAUCACUUCUAGGUAUUCGUCACCAUGCUGAUUGAUUUGCAUUGUUUCUGUCGGUAUUGCAGCUCGUCAGAAGAAAGCUGUGAAGAUUUUCCCACGCCCAACUGCAGGCCCGCUUCGCCCUAUUGUGCAGUGCCAGACACUCAAAUACAAUAUGAAAUCCAGGGCUGGAAGGGGUUUUUCUCUUGAGGAGCUCAAGGUAACUCUCACUUGUGUGUUAAUCUCGCAGAACUUUUGUGCGGGUUAUUUGAUUUUACUGUCAAAUCAACUUUUAGCAUAGUGAUUGUGGUCCUUUGCUUCCUCUGUGCUUCCUCUGUGGUCUUCCUCUUAUUGCAUUCUUUUUAAGCGAUUUUCGUGCUAUGGCACAUAAUAGUAGACAAAAAGAAGAUGCCAUCCAGAGGAAGUAGCUGGGUUGCUUCAUCAUCAUACAGCUAGGAAAAAUUCAAGAUGUUCAAUAUAUGGUGAAAACAUGUUGGACCACUAUUAUAUUGUAUUAUAUGCGACUUUGUAUUUUUUUACCUUGAUUAUGUCAACUCUGAAAAUAUUGAUUUUACUACGUAAUCUUAUAAUAUUUGAUCUGACUACUGCGCUGUUAGAAUGUAACCAGUACUUUCUGCUUUUUUAAUGGAAUGGUAUGUAUUGGAGCGGAAUAUCUAUUUCUUUACUGAAUAUGGAAAGGUCAAAUACUUAAAUUUUAACAGAACUUCACGGAAUUUAUUGAAAACAAAAGUAGUGAAACAUAGGUAGUAAAAAUUCAAAAUUUUUGAAGUUUAGGUUGCCAAAAUACUCUUGUAGUUCAGAUAAGGUCUGUAUGUUUUUACUCCUCUUUGGUUAAUAUCAGUGAUAUCAAUUUCUUUUACCAUUUUAAUUGACAUUUUACAAUAUUUUCUAAGAACUUUGUACCAACUCCCAAUGUCUUAGUGAAUUGAAUAAAUUUUAUGUAAUUUAAUCUCAGGCAGCAGGCAUUCCUAAGAAGUUUGCCCCUACAAUCGGCAUUGCAGUGGACCACCGCCGUAAAAACCGUUCCCUCGAGGGGUUGCAGGCCAAUGUGCAGAGGCUGAAGACCUACAAGGCCAAACUUGUCAUCUUCCCAAGACGCCCUCGCAAGUUUAAGGCAAGAACGCACUCUCUUAUAUCUAUGUUUUUAAAUUAUGCAUAUAAAUUAUGCAUAUAUUAUGGACCUGUUUUCUGAUGGAGUACAGGUCAGUUGAGGAAAGCUGCUUGAGAAAGCCCCUACAAUAUUUUUCCCCCUAAUAUCCCCCGACAGCUUCUCAUGCAGCAGAAACUCCAAACUUGGAGUUUCCCAGUAUUGCAGAAGCUUCAAAAUCGGAGCUUUGCACUGCAGCAGAAGCUUGAAAUAGGAGCUUUUGCCUAUCGCAUCAAAAGGCUCCAAGCAUUUUGUUUGCUUCUUCUUAAUCUGUUCCAGAUACUGUGGCAAAUUGGCACCUACAGCCCGUUUGGCUCUGUUGGCACUUUUGCAGAAGUGCGAUUUGAGUACAGGUCUCUGAACAACUGAUUGCUGUUUCAGUAACGCUUUUCGAAGAACCAUUUACCAUCUUUGUUUUGUUGAAAUCUCCGCACUCACUUCCACUGCAGCAUUAAGUAAAAGCUUCAAAUUGUAGCUUCGGCUUCAGAAGCUCAAAUCCCAUUUGCGUACUUAUUAUUUGCCAAGAAGUUGCUUUUCUGGAAGCUUCUUAUAUUAUAAAAUAUAAAUUUAUUUCUCAGGCUGGUGAUUCCGCACCGGAGGAACUUGCGACCGCGACCCAGAUCCAGGGACAAUACAUGCCGAUUGUCCAUGAGAAGCCGUCGGUUGAGCUUGUGAAGGUCACGGACGAGAUGAAGUCGUUCAAGGCUUAUGCCAAGCUCCGCGUCGAGCGCAUGAACCAGCGCCAGAUUGGCGCCAGGCUGAAGAAGGCCGCGGAGGCGGAGAAGGAAGAGAAGAAGUAAAUCAGGUCGAAACGCAUUUCUAAGUCCACUGUUAGCUCUAAGUUUAGCUUUCCUUUUAUCAAACAGAGAUUCGUGAAUAUUUCGGUUUCAAUCUAGCUGAGUUCUCGAUUACUGCUCCCUAUGCUUUUUUAUUUGGAUUUGCGAAUGCGUCGGAUCUUUUCAAGAGAGAAUUUUUGGAGUUGUUAAGUUUUAUAAUUCUCAUGAUUCAUAGAUUUUUGCUUCUGCUUGGUUAUAUUUGCUGCAAAUUAGUUUCUUCUUGUGUGUAUAGAAGCUGUUUUGACUUGCUCCUUCAAACACUAGUAGUAAUAGAGUUAAAAAAAAGAAAAAGAAAAAGAAAAACGAAAAUAGUAGCUAUACCUAUUGGAAUAAAUUAUACAACUUCAUAAUUUUGUUAAAUUUUUUAAUGAUUUUUGCUCGAAUGGGUUCGACUUCUAAAAUAUUCUAAGCUUUAAAAAGAGGAGGGUGUUUGAGACAUUUGGCUUUUUAUUAGAUGCAAUUUGGUGACUGAUUCAAAUAUUUUUUUUUUUUUCAGUAGUUUAUUUUGGAUUUUUUGGUUAGGAAUUUGCAAUUUGCAUCUUGAGUGUUCUUAAUCCAGUAAAUUGCAUUCAUCUGAAGCAUCCCAAUAUCCAUUCAACAUGUAGUUUUUUUUUUUUUUUUUUUUUUUUUUUUUUUUUUUUUUAAAGUGUAUCAAUUUAGUAUCCUAUAGUUUUAUCUUUUUUUUUUUAUUAUUCAUUUCACUAUUUUUUUUCGUUAAAUCAAUGUUAAAACUGAAGUGUACGAAAGUGAAUAUUCAAUAAAUCUAGGUGAAAUAUAGUGGGAUAUAUCAAGUUUUUUUUGUAUAUAAUUUAAUGAAAUAUUAACGGAGAAGCUGACGAAAAGAGAAAAAACUAAGGGUACUAACUUGAUACACUUUAAAUUACAGAGUACUAAAGUGAGAAAGUACAAAAUCAUCGGGUUACACUGGGAAAUUCGAAUCUUCGACUUACGAAUAAUCAACUAGAAUGAUAACCAACUAUUUAGAUUGAUUGUUCGUCAAGGUGUAUGUAGUAGGUCAAGGGCUGUUUGAAAUCGGAAAGCGAAGGACUCGUGAGUUUUGCAAAUUCGGCACCGUUCCUCAUUCCACGAAAGUCGAAAGGCAAAGCUCCGUCUAAUUGUUUGUCGGUCAGUGGGAGUUUUUGCGAUCUCGUGACUUCGAUGCCGAAACAAAAAAUAGGAUGUCUACAACUUUUUUCAAGUUAUCCAUUCCCCGUUCCACCGAAAUCGAAAGACAGAUUUGUAUAAUUUUUUUGCCAGUGAGAGUUUGGAUGAUUUUGUAAUUUUGAUGUCGAAACAAAUACGGAUGUCUGCGACUUAGGUUGUUCGGAAGCAGAAAGUCAGAAAGCCAUAAUAUUACGAGAUUAUUCGUAAUAGUUUUGUAAAUUCAUCUCCGUCCCCCGUUCCACCGAAAUCGAAAGGCAGAUGUUUGUAUAAUUGUUUGUUGGUAAGAAUUUGGAUGAUCUCGUGACUUCGAUGUCAAAAUAAAUAGAUACCUACCACCGAAAUUGAAAUCCAUAUAUAUUUGUAUAAUCGUUAUUAGAGAGAGUUUGACUGAUCUUGCAACUUCCAUAAUGCCAAAAUAAAUAUUAAAAACGUUACCAUUUUCUCAAAAUUACAAGUUAUAAUUUUUUGGAGAACUACAAAAAUAAAGAGUCUCUUUAGUCUUAAGUUGCAUGUGUGAGAUGCUCGACUAUUUUAAAACUUAGUGGGCUCUUUUUUUUUUUUCUUUUUCUUUUUUCUUUUUUAUUUUUUUUCCCCUAUUUUCAAACAUUGUAUGCGGUUCCAGCAUAAUUGUUACUAGCUAAGGGCCGCGCGAUGCAACGGGAAAAAAAAUAUUUCUGUUAAUUUUUAAAAAUAUUUAUUUUUUUAGAUACAUAUAAUUUUAUGACUACAUAAAAAUAUAUAGUAAUACACGAAAUGAAAAAUAUACGUAUACAAAUCAGAUACAAUCUUUUACAUUAACUUUAUAUAAAAACAUUCAUUGCAGAAAUUUUAUAAUAUUAAAUAAAAUUAAAAUUAUAUAAAAUAUUACUAAAUUAAAAUAGUAAGAAAAUACAAAAUAAUGCACUACUAAAAUAUAAAAGGUUCAUAACAAUUAUCUAUUUAUAAAAAAUAAGGCAACCGAAUAUAUAACUUUUUUUUUACACUGUAUUUAUAAGAUUUUAUCAUAAAAAUAGAAAUUCAGUAAGUUUUGUAUCUAUACCUUUUAUAUAUUACAUAUUUUAUCAGGUUUGUACAUAUAUAAGGGCCCAAUCAAAACACCCACGCCCCCUCCCCCUCUUCCAUCCGCCACGUGGCAUUUUUUUUUCACACUUUCUCACUUUAGUACCCUAUGAUUUAAACUGUAUCAAUUUAAUACCAUAUAGUUUCAUUUUUCUCUUUUUAUUAUUUAUUCAACUAAUUUUUUUCGUUAAAUCAGUAACAAAGUUAAAACUAAAAAGUACUAAAGUGAAUAUUCGAUAAACCUAAGUAGGGUAUCCGAAGUUUUUUUGUAUAUAAUUUAACGAAAUAUUAACAGAAGAGCUGACAAAAAGUGAAAAUAAAACCACAGAAUACUAAUUUGAUACACUUUAAGCCACAUGGUACUAAAGUGAGAAAGUGCAAAACCACAGAGAUGGUAUUUGAAGUUUAACCUUUUUAUUAAUUAUAGAUUGUAUAUGAGCAUGUCUUAUACACUCGGUAUAUAACUUUUUUUACACCGUAUGAAAUUUUAAUUUUGGUAUAUAUACAUGGUACUAAAGUGAGAAAAUGAAAUCAUAUGAUACUAACUUGAUAUACUUUAAACCACAUGGUAUUAAAGUGAGAAGGUGCGAAAUCAUAGAGCUAGGAUUUCAAGUUUACCCUUUUUAUUAAUUAUAGAUUGUAUAUGAGUAUGUCUUAGACACUCGGUGUACAAUAUUUUUUACACUGUAUGAAAUUUUAAUUUUAUUAUAUCGACUAUUAAAAAAUAGGGUUGGUCAAUGCGAUAAAAUUUUAUAUUUGGUGCAGGCAAAAACAAAAAAGAAAAGAUUUGGAUUCCCAAUUCAAAUUAUAAAUUAUAUAUGAGCAUAUCUUAUACAUUCAGUAUAUGACUUUUUUUACACCGUAUGAAAUUUUAAUUUUGUUAUAUCGACUAUUAAAAAAUAGAGUUGGUUCAUGCGUUAAAAUUUUAUACUUGGUGUAGGCAAAAACAAAAAAAAAAAUAAAUUAUAAAUUAUAUAUGAGCAUAUUUUAUACACUUGGUGUACAACUAUUUUUACACCAUAUAAAAUUCUAAUUUUGUUAUAUUAAUUAUUGAAAAAUAAGAUUAGUCCGUGUGAUAAAAUUUUACACUCAGUGUAAGCAAAAAAAAAAAAAAGGAAAAACUUCAAAAACCCUUCCUGUGGUUUCAUAUUUUUUCAUUUUAGUACCUUAUGGUUUAAAGUGUAUCAAGUUAGUACCCUAUGAUUUCGCACUUUCUCACUUUAGUACCCUGUGGUUUAAAGUGUAUCAAGUUAGUACUCUGUGGUUUUAUUUUUUUAUGAAGUUAGUAACAUGUAGUUUUAUUUUUGUAUCAAGUUAAUUCCCUGUGUACCAUGUGGUUUUAUUUUUGUAUCAAGUUAAUUAAUUCCUUGUGAUUUUUAAACUACAGGGUACUAAAGUGAGAAAGUGCGAAACCACAGGGUACUAAAGUGAAAAAGUGCGAAACCACAAGGUACUAAAGUGAGAAAGUGCGAAACCACAGGGUACUAACUUGAUACACUUUAAACCACAGGGUACUAAAGUGAGAAAGUGCGAAACCACAGGGUACUAACUUGAUAUACUUUAAACCACAUAAUACUAAAGUGAAAAGGUGCAAAACUACAUGACACUAACUUGAUAUAUUUUAAAUUAUAAAAUACUAAAGUGAGAAAAAGUGAAACCAUAAUGGAGUAUUUAAAGUUUUUCUGGGAAAAAAAUAAAAAAUAUAUAUAUAGUGCGAGAGAGAGAGAGUGAGCGAGAGGAAAAAAUUAGAAAAAAAAUGGAGUGGCCCAACCUCAUUGCUUGAGGAGCAGCCGUACACACUUUGGUUUCUCCUUUCAUGCAUCGAAAGAUGUGCGCGGAAUAUUCUCUAUAAAUAAUAUUUUCCUCCGUAUACUUUGUCUUUAUAAUAUUUUCGAAUACAAUAAUUAUAUACGUAGAAAAAGAAAAAGAUUAAUGCUUUAUAAAUUUAGGUUUUGAAAUUGUGAGAAGAUUACGUUAUAUGUGGUGAAAAAAAAUGAUAAAAAAAUAUUUUAUUUAUUUCAAUAUGUAAUAUUACGUUUCGCAUAUUGUGCUUAGUCUGCUACGAUAUGAUAACCUUCGAAUUAUGGACUAUAAUAAUUCGGACAAUAACUACUGAAUUACACCACACGGGUUACUAAAAAUAAUGUUAUCAUAUACAGUUUCGCUAUCAUAUUUAUUAAAUUUUGUCACUAAAAUAAAUAUACUAUAUAUUUAUUUAUAAAUAUAUAUAAAGAGUUGCUUUAAAAGAUGUGUCCAUUCUCAGUUACCGAGAUUACAUCAUACCUCCUCUUCGGGAAAGUACCUGUGUAGUCAUAUCACAAACUUUAUAUAUUAAAAAGUUACCGGACAGUGGCGCGCAUUUUCAUGGCCUCAUUUCCCUGUUCCGUGUUUCGACCAAACCAUCCUUCCUCAUUGCCUUGUAAUCAUCGAUGCGACUCAAAAACGCCCGCAUACGAACUCCUACCCGACCGUACUGAUCCCCGCGCAAUCGACGGCCGAGAUGACAUCUAGGCACGCCCGCACGGAGAAAUAUCUGCGGACGCAUGUACACAAAUUACUGAUAAUUGAGCGGUGGCGUUCCCGUAAUUUUUGUGAACUUUAAGGGCGAAUGUUAGGAGAGAUCGUGUUAUAUAAGCGUAGCGAAUAUUAGAGACCCAAUCGAAGAGAGAGAGAAAAAAAAAAAAAAGGGAAAAGGGAAAAGGGAAAAGGCGAUGGGUUUGAAGGUAAUACACAAAAAUUUCCCAUUAAUUCGUUUAUAUUUCUUAAUUUUUGCCUAAUUUUUCGACUUCUUUGUUGUUUUCUUCGCUGUUUACUGUUAAUUUCUACUGAAAAAAGGGGUAUUUUAAGAUGGAAAAGUACGAGAUUUGCUCCUUUUUUUUUUUUUCUUUUGAGGAUGAGUUCGAAUUUUUCAUAAAAUUUGUGCUGUUUUAUUCUGUUUUUCCUCUCAAUUUCUGCUGAAAUUUUAGUUAAUUUCCUGAAAAAUUGGGUAUUUUAGGUCAAAAUGGAAUAGAUCGGGUUGAUUUGUUUAUUUUUGUUGCUUAAUUAGGGUGGAUUGUUGUGGGUUCACUCGAAAUUAGGGUUUUUAAUGCUUAUUUCUCUGAUUUUCUUAGAUCUGGAUCAUUCAUGCUUGAUGGUAACUCAAACAAAAAGUAAUAAUUUCAACAAAAUUUUGCAUGUUCUUAUUUUUUUUUUUCUUUUGAGAUCUGAAUGUAUAAAUGUGUAUAUAUUUUCAGACCACUAAGAAGAUCAUAAUGUUAUGACAAUUAAAAUCUUUUACCCCCUUGAUAUGUUUUAAGAAAUUGUUUUCGACAUGAAUGAAGCGUGGAAAACUAUUUUCCUGGAAAACAGUUUCCAUUGAGAACACUAUUUUUCACAGUUUUCGUUUUCCGAAUAAAAAAAAUUCGGAAAACCUGAAACUACUAGUUUUUCAUUAAGUCCGAAAAAACUAUUUUUUCCCGAAUCACACAGAUGGAAAAUAGUUUUCCGACCGGAAAGUAGUUAGUUUUCCGCUCAGAAAACUCUAUUAGUUUUUCAUGAAGUGUGAAAAAAUUGUUUUUUGCCGAAUNACUACUAGUUUUUCAUUAAGUCCGAAAAAACUAUUUUUUCCCGAAUCACACAGAUGGAAAAUAGUUUUCCGACCGGAAAGUAGUUAGUUUUCCGCUCAGAAAACUCUAUUAGUUUUUCAUGAAGUGUGAAAAAAUUGUUUUUUGCCGAAUCAUACAGACGGAAAAUAGUUUUCCGACCGGAAAGUAGUUAGUUUUCCACUCAGAAAACUCUACUAGAUUUUCAUGGAGUGUGAAAAACUUGUUUUUUGCCAAAUCACACAGACGGAAAAUAGUUUUCCAACCGGAAAGUAGUUAGUUUUCCGCUCAGAAAACUCUACUAGUUUUUCAUGAAGUCCGAAAAAAUUGUUUUUUGCCGAAUCACACAGACGGAAAAUAGUUUUCCAACCGGAAAGUAGUUAGUUUUCCGCUCAGAAAACUAUUUUCUGGGCUUAUCUCCCGGGAACCAAGUUUUCCGAAAAGUAUCUCAAAGAAUAGUUUUCUGGCGGAAAAAGUAUUUUCCGUCCGUUUGGUUUCUAGAGGUAGUAGUUUAUCUGAAAAGUUUUUUUUUUUUGUUCCAGAUUUCAUGGAAAAGCCAUGUUUUUGUUUUUCAAAUUUUUUGUUUGGAAAAUGAUAACUGUAUAAGAAGGUGUUUUCCACGGAAAACUUUUAUCGGAAAACAGUUUUCUACGCAUUUCGGACAAACCAACCUUAUUGAAUCCAUAAUGCUUGCCAUGUUAUAUAUGAGCUAUAAUUGUAUUAAUACAUUUGAUUCACUGUAACCUAGUUUUGUGUUAGAUUUUGUUUCUAGAUAUCGUUUUAUGAACCUAGUUGUAUCUGAAUUACCAAAACCAAUUCUAUGGUAAUGUUAGUGUUUCUCUUUGAUUGUGCUAGGUUAAAUUUAAGCUACUGUUAAUCAAGAAGGAAAAGUUUGGCAUUGAUAUUUUUUCGUAUCUUUAAUUGAAUACUUCGACAAUUGCGAGAUGAGCGAGAUUUUGGAAGGACUCUUGCUCGUAUCAUAUCAAGCGGUUACGGUAUCGGUGAUUGACGAUACCUUUUUGUAAUGCGUCUUGUAGGAAGAGUUUGAGGAGCAUGCUGAGAAAGCCAAAACUCUGCCGGAAAAUACCACCAAUGAGAACAAGUUGAUCCUUUACGGACUUUAUAAGCAGGCGACUGUCGGAGCAGUCAAUACCAGUAUGUAUUGCUCGUUUUUCAUUUAAAUUACUGACUUAUUAUAAUUAUGCGACUGUUUCUCAUUAUAAUUUGAGCUCGAAUCCUUCAUUUUUUUUUUCUCUGUUUCAUUCACUAUGAUUCCUGUCCAACUCUCUUUAUCCAUGCCAAACAACUACACAUUCUUUUGAUUUGGUCCUCAAGAUGCGCAACUAACCAAACCAAAUUGCCGACUAAACUGAACCGAAUGAACCAAAAGCGACUCGGUCCACUUUGGUAAUUCAAUAAUUUCGCUUUUGCUCUUGGGAUUUUGUCUAAAUGAUUAUCGUCAAGGAUUUAAGUGUUGUAACACAGGAUCGUGCCGAAAACUUGCCAACAUGAUACGACACGGUGCGUGCCGGACCAUGCCGUUGUAUGCCGGUCACAAAAAAUACAUGCGUGCCGACACAUAAUUGCAUGAAAUAUUUAUUUUCUUUAGCAACAAAAUAAUUUGUUAGCUUAUUAUAUAUCUUUAUCAAGUUUUUUGAACUUUAUUGAGAAAAUACUUACUACUUUAAAGAAAAAAGAGUUUUGAGUUGUGUCAUCGGCAUGAGGGCUGUAUCGUGCUGAUAUCUUGUUGGCACGAUACAACGCGGUAGAUACGGUCUGUAUCGAUAGGCACUUAAAUCCUAGAUUAUCAUAUUAUGGCUUUUCGAUCGGUAGCUUAUGAAUCGACGUGAAAUUUCCCUGGAUGGUUAGAGGUGAGCUCUGGAAAACUAGCUUUGAACUUUCAUUUGUUAUGUUGGUAAUAUGCUGUAGAUGCAUGUUUUGUAUACUAAAUGAUAAGCACUUUGUCACUGCAGGCCGGCCUGGCAUCUUCAAUUUGAAGGACAGAGCCAAGUGGGAUGCUUGGAAGGCUGUGGAAGGUUCUGAUAUUACUACUUUUCCUAGUCUCUCCUUCUCGAUCUUUUUCUUUUUAACAUAUUGGCGGUGUAUAUUGUUGAUAAUUAACACAGUGGUGAAAUAAAACAGCGAAGUCGAAGGAGGAAGCGAUGAACGAUUA